UGGGGAAUAUUGGACAAUGGGCGAAAGCCUGAUCCAGCCAUGCCGCAUGAGUGAAGAAGGCCUUUGGGUUGUAAAGCUCUUUUAGUGAGGAAGAUAAUGACGGUACUCACAGAAGAAGUCCUGGCUAACUCCGUGCCAGCAGCCGCGGUAAUACGGAGAGGGCUAGCGUUAUUCGGAAUUAUUGGGCGUAAAGGGCGCGUAGGCGGAUUAGUAAGUUAAAAGUGAAAUCCCAAGGCUCAACCUUGGAAUUGCUUUUAAAACUGCUAAUCUAGAGAUUGAAAGAGGAUAGAGGAAUUCCUAGUGUAGAGGUGAAAUUCGUAAAUAUUAGGAGGAACACCAGUGGCUAAGGCGUCUAUCUGGUUCAAAUCUGACGCUGAGGCGCGUAGGCGUGGGGAGCAAACA
rnacentral:rRNA from 1 species